AAAAAAAAAAUCCAACAAAAAAGGUGCCAUACAUAUAUAGCAGAAUUUUAGUAAAUUAUUCAAAACAGAAGAAAAAUCUAUGAGAAAAGAAGCAGAUGUAUGUGAUAUUACCAAUUACAAUCUUCUUCUGGCAUCCAAAAUCAUACUAUCUAUAUUCCUUUCUACCCUUAUGUGGAAAAAAUGCAUUUGAAAAGAGUUAUCUAUUGACAAUAAUGCAUCCUAACACUUUAACAUAGCUGAAAAGUCUGAUGACUACCACAUGCCUCUGCACAACCACAGUCCAGAUCUCAGAUUUUACCCAGAAGUAUUCAAGGCCAUUUGGGUGUACAGACAGGCUAAUCUGCACAUGCAUCCUCCUACUGCCAUAUAAAAUGCAGGCUGCACUAAGUGCCAAAAAUGGGGGCUUAACCCAUAAGUUUUCUCAGAAUAUGCCUAACACAAACUGAUAGAAUUGGGUUUCUUGCAAAAAGCAAUUAUGGCUCCCAUUUUUCUCUUAAAAACAGGGCCCUCCCUUAUUAUGUUAUAGCCUAGAGAUUAAGUUACAUUCAUCCAAAAAGUAAGAGACUGAGUUUGAGUUCCUUCUUUUGCUAGAGGCAAUGAAAAUUUGCAUUACUGAAGUUAGACUAAAAAAAACCAUUACUUUGCAAAAGGCAUGGUCAUUUAUUAAACCACUCUAACUUGAUCAAAUUCGCCCCAUACUCAAUGUCCAUCAAUGAAAUUGCACCAGCAUGCUAACCAGUGUACUUAACAUAAUGUGAAGGUGUUUUACUGCUUUCUGCACAAUAUAAUUUCUCAUUCUGUCCUGACAUGGAGCUUUGAGUAAAUAGUCAGCAUUUUGGAAGAUGAGGAUAGAAAAUUAGAAUCUAUGAAAAAAUGUCAGGAAGACUCUAUUCACCUAUAAAUAAUUUCAGAUAAUUUUACAUUUGUUAUGCUGUCCCUAAGUGCAAAAAUGCAAAACUGUGUGCUCACCUGUUCUAUCAAACUAAUUUUUUAAAUGGGUAAAGAGAAGAAAAUAAAAAGAAAUAAAAUAAAAUUCAUUUUAUUGAAUAAAUCAAUAAAAUGUAUCCAAGACAGAAUAUAGUUUCAGCCAAACAUCAUUAAUCGUCCUUAAAUGCAUGCUGGAUGUAGCAGCAAUGUCUUAGCUGAUUUCUGAUGAACCAAGACUAAGAAGACACCUAGCCAGUCACCACUAGUGGCCAAAACCAAAAGCAGAGAAGAAAAUAGAGAUAACAUCAAGCAAGAAAAGAAUGAGAUGAAGAUACCAGCAGGCCCUGGACAGGAGGGAAGCACUGGAUCUCAGCAGUUCAUGCAGGCUGGUAAUGUGAAUGAAGUGCACUAUCUACAGGCAACAUCUGUACCUUCUUUCAAGCUUAUUUUUUAUAACAACUACCAUUUUCACGUGCAAGCAAGGAAGAAGACAAAUAUCCAUCAUGAAGAAUGCAAAGCACUCCCUCACAAGACCAAAGCAACAGUGCAUGAAAUUGAACUCAAAAAGAGCCUCCAUUCUGUGUGACUUCUUGGCUGACACAAUUCAGAUAUUUAUAGCUUUACGAAUAUGCCACUGGAAGAGAACUUGAAGCUUUUUCUAGCUAGGAAGGAUUAAUGAACAUGUGCACCUGGUAAUUACAGCACUCCAUCUUUCUCAAAGCCCUCACAUUGCCUCAAUGGCAGAAACUGUAAUGAAAAACCAUUGAAAAUACCAAUCUGCAAUUCCAUAAGUCAUUUAAUUAUUAAAAUAUAUAAUCUCUUUUCAUACUUUCUAUGAACUAUGCUAACAGUGUUAUGCAAGAAAUCAUACUUUCUGCUUCAUAUUAUUACCUGGAACACCUAAUUUAAAAUGAAAAAUUCAUCUGAUAUCAGCUUGGGAUUUAACUUACUCUAACCUCAGAUUGGAAAAUGCAUGGUAAUAACUGUCAAAUACUUCUGCAAGAAAGAGCAGAAAAAAACCCAACAGCUUAAGGUAAUGCAUGCAAUUCUAAGAAGACAAAAAUUACACACUAAAUUUCAAUAAACAAAAGGUUUAUUUGAAAAGAAAUGUUUAAAGAUUGGGGGAAACAAGCAUUCUGUACUUUUUUCCUAAAGAAGGCUUUCAGAGUUAUUGUCAGGUGGAAACUUUCUAAGGAGUAAUGCAUGCUGCCACAAACAUUUGUCUAAUGUACAUACCACGAGAAAUCUACAGUAGCUGGGGCACUGUUUGUUUGUUAAAACACUUCCUGAAUAAACUUGAAAAACACUGUGCACUUCAUGCUCUAUUUUGAGAUUAAUAUUACUGAAAAAACUUGGAAAAACAAAAGCCACUUUAUCAUCAAAGUAGUAAAACCCAAACAGUCUAUGAGCAUCAAUAUUCAAAUUUUCUCAUGUUAUUCUGACAUUUGAUACAACAUUAACCUGAAACAGCCAGAUACAUGAAGGGAUGAAGCAGACCACCCAAAAGUAAAAACAUCCUUACUAAUACAGAUUAUUUUAAGCAGAGAGCCUCAACUGCUUUACAAGUGAAAUUAAAUUUUAAUAUACAUUUUAGUGAAAUCCUUAGCUAUUACAACAUUUGAAUGAAAGCCAAUUAUAACCUAAAUGCACAGACAUCUAUAUGGCUCUAAAAGUAGUCUUUUAAAAGAUAUUUAAGGACAGUAUGAGAUCUGAACAUUAAAAAUGGCCUUUUAUUGUUAAAACAUACUGUUCUUUGGUGGAUUAUAGAAAAAUAAAAGGUUCCAGUAGAGAUAAGUGUGCGUGAAAUGCUCUCUCAAGAGUAUUCAACCAAACUGACUGCAAUAAGGGGACUUCAAAAAGCAGCAAGAGAAGAGAUGUUCAAAGCACCUUGCAGCUUUGGGCUACUGGCCUCUACUGCUGUUUUUAAUACAGUUAGGUUUAACUUGGGAGCGGAUAAAUAAUUGACAGAGGUAUUUCCAGAAAGCUUUGAUCACCGCACCGUUUGUCACAAGCUCCGAAGUAGUCACGGCGAUAACACUUAAUCUGGGGCUUCUUAUUUCAAGUACAAAAGCAUCCCCUCCCACCUACAGCUCGCAGACUCCUGCAUCAGAGCAGGAGACUUAAGAUGCAGCCUGCACAGCACUAACACGCCACGCUCUCCACCGGCAGAUUCCUUCUCCAGCACGCCUAAUUUCGCAUCCUUACCUUUAAAAGGCUGCCCAGAACCUGCAAAGUUCCCCCAGACGGUUUUAGUUCAGAGCAUCCAGCAGUGCAUCCGCACAAAGCUUUGCCAUUGCGAGUGUGAAGAGAGAGAGCUGCUGGGAUGCUGAAUGGCACAUCAGCCAACUUUGUGUGUAUCCGCGGCUCCCUGAAAAAGCUGGACCGAAAUUCCCCUCGCCUGCGGAUUGGAUUCAACAGUACACAGUAACUGUGAGAAAGAGCAAGGAUUUAAAAAGGGAAAAGGGACAAGCGGGAGGGGGAAGGGGGGGGCAUGUCUGAAGAGAAAAAAAUCCUGUCCUGGAUCCUGGCUGUGAUAAAUCUUGGCUGUGAAAUACAAGCUGCUCUUCAUAGUCCCACAAAUACUUGCAAAACUACUCUUCUGUAAUGUUUUCAUUGCACUGUGUACCAUAGGAUGCCAUCAGUCUAACAGCUGAUAUUUCAAUAAAGAAUGUGUUAAUAAUUUGCCUAACUAACAUAUGAGGGGAUAACACAAGCAUUCCAGCCUUCAUGCUAAAAUCAUAAAAAAGAAAGUGCAAUAUGUGAAUAAAACUAAUUUUAGAUAUACUUAGACUAUAAUUUUCCUGAUUUUCUGCAGAUUAUUUGUGUACUCAUUUAGA